rnacentral:rRNA from 1 species
UACGUAGGGGGCGAGCGUUGUUCGGAAUUAUUGGGCGUAAAGCGCGUGUAGGCGGUUCGGUAAGGCGGAUGUGAAAUCCCGGGGCUCAACCCCGGGCCGGCAUCCGCGACUGCCGGGCUGUAGUGUGGGAGGGGAGAGCGGAAUUCCUGGUGUAGCGGUGAAAUGCGUAGAUAUCAGGAGGAACACCGGUGGCGAAGGCGGCUCUCUGGACCAUAACUGACGCUGAGACGCGAAAGUCAGGGGAGCAAACAGG